rnacentral:rRNA from 1 species
UGCUCUGGUGGAUUAGUGGCGAACGGGUGAGUAACACGUGAGUAACCUGCCCUUGACUCUGGAAUAAGCGUUGGAAACGACGUCUAAUACCGGAUACGAGCUUCAGCCGCAUGGCUAGGAGCUGGAAAGAAUUUCGGUCAAGGAUGGACUCGCGGCCUAUCAGGUAGUUGGUGAGGUAAUGGCUCACCAAGCCUACGACGGGUAGCCGGCCUGAGAGGGUGACCGGCCACACUGGAACUGAGACACGGUCCAGACUCCUACGGGAGGCAGCAGUGGGGAAUAUUGCACAAUGGGCGCAAGCCUGAUGCAGCAACGCCGCGUGAGGGACGACGGCCUUCGGGUUGUAAACCUCUUUUAGUAGGGAAGAAGCGAAAGUGACGGUACCUGCAGAAAAAGCACCGGCUAACUACGUGCCAGCAGCCGCGGUAAUACGUAGGGUGCAAGCGUUAUCCGGAAUUAUUGGGCGUAAAGAGCUCGUAGGCGGUUUGUCGCGUCUGCUGUGAAAACUGGGGGCUCAACCCCCAGCCUGCAGUGGGUACGGGCAGACUAGAGUGCGGUAGGGGAGAUUGGAAUUCCUGGUGUAGCGGUGGAAUGCGCAGAUAUCAGGAGGAACACCAAUGGCGAAGGCAGAUCUCUGGGCCGUUACUGACGCUGAGGAGCGAAAGCAUGGGGAGCGAACAGGAUUAGAUACCCUGGUAGUCCAUGCCGUAAACGUUGGGAACUAGAUGUAGGGGCCAUUCCACGGUUUCUGUGUCGCAGCUAACGCAUUAAGUUCCCCGCCUGGGGAGUACGGCCGCAAGGCUAAAACUCAAAGGAAUUGACGGGGGCCCGCACAAGCGGCGGAGCAUGCGGAUUAAUUCGAUGCAACGCGAAGAACCUUACCAAGACUUGACAUAUACGAGAACGGGCUAGAAAUAGUUCACUCUUUGGACACUCGUAAACAGGUGGUGC